GACGAGGGUAAUGAAUACACAAAGACUCAAAACCAAACAAGCGUCUGUCUCUCUCUCUCUCUCUCUAGAACUACCAAACCGAGACUCUCCGUUACCCAAUAGCAAAAGUGAUCCUCUCAUCGUAAGCUUCCUGUCUAUACUUGUUUCGUGGUUGUGCUUGGAAGAUUGAGUUCGAGCUGGGCUGUACGAAAGUGGUUCAAAUUGUUGGAUUUGGGUAAGAACCCUAUAAACCCGAACCGUAAUUGCAGCCCUCUUUCGAUUUCUUAAGCGCUGGGCUUGAUUUCUGUGUGUGUGUUUUAGGGAUAUUGGGAAAACUAGCCAAAAUUAGAACCAUGAAUUGAAUUUUAGCCAAUUAUUAUGCUUUCAUUUAUAAUUCUAACCAUAUUUUGACAUAAAAGUACUUAAACACCCUUGUUAACUAGAAGUUGCUAAAGCUAGCAACUUCUGUGGCGAAUAGUCACUGAGAAUACCACCACCACCACCGUCAGAGCCUGAACCAUCAGGUGCAUUGCCGCCACUGUUAGACCCACCACCACCACUGUCAUCCCACUCACCAAUCAACGAAACCCGAUCGACGCCAUCUCACGGCCAUCUAUACGACUAUACCCAAUAAAACCACUAUCACCAUCCAAAUCAAUAACGAAGAAGAAAAGCCGGUUUAAUUAUGAGGUUUCACAUAGAAGGAAAAUCUCGAAAAAAACAGAGAUAGGUUUCUUCUGGUUUUUUGGAAAGGAAAAAGCUAUCUGGUGAGCACUGGAGUCUGGAGUACAGAACAUCUGGACUUCAAAUGAGCUUCUGAGGAGGUAGUGUGGUGGAUUGAGCUGCAGUGUAAUAAUAAAUAAUGCUAUACCGUGUGCCAUCUAUCCGGCUUGACGCUUGUCUCAGUGCAUGUGAGGGGUUCAGUUCUUUUGACAAGUCUCGUUAAGUUUGUGGGUCUUCACCAUUUUAUUCCACUUAUAGCUCAGAAAGGGCGGAUUACAGGUUUUACAAAUUGUGGUGGUGGUUGUGUAAGCUGGGUGAGCAUUGUAAUUAUGUUAGUUAACAAAGGGUAUUGUAGUAUUUUCAUGUCAAGCUUUGGUUAGAAUUAUAAAUAAUUAUAUUAGUUGGUUAAAAUUC